rnacentral:rRNA from 1 species
CACUUACCUGGACGGGGUCUAUGGCUGAUCAAGAAGAGUCAUGGCCUAGGCUAGUGGCCGACAUUGCACUUUGUGGGCGCGCUGGCUUACCAUCUCCCCUUUGAGGGAGAGUGGACGUCAUAA